rnacentral:other from 1 species
UGUUCCCUGCGGUGUUCGUCAAGGCCAUAUAUUCCUUGAACCAAUGCUACUAGGCGUCGGUUGCUGACCGUUGAAACUGCUGUUGUGCCUGCCCUUCGUCGGGUGGACCUGAAGCAGGAGGAAAGCAGCCAAUCUGAACCCAGGUUCAGGAUGCCGGCCUAACGGCACAGGUGGGGAGCCA